GUAUCAAGAGACAAGUUGGAAGAAGAAGACGAGACGAAUCAAGAUAAUUCAAAGUAAGGCUGCUAUUAAGAUAGAAAAUGGGUGGAUUUUAAAGUAGUUGUGGUUUAAAAUAAGUCCAUCACAUGGAGAGUUUUCAAAAGUCUGAAGCAGAGAGACAUACUUACA
rnacentral:sRNA from 1 species